CUUCUAUAGGAAAGUAGCAAUCCGUUGGUUUUAGGUACC
rnacentral:tRNA from 1 species